rnacentral:rRNA from 1 species
GAGUAGCUACGUCGGGAAGGGAUAAGCACUGAAAGCAUAUAAGUGCGAAACCCAUCACAAGAUGAGAUUUCUUUUAAGGGUCGUAGGAGACGACUACGUUGAUAGGUCACAGGUGUAAAGGCAGUAAUGUCAUAGCCGAGUGAUACUAAUUACCCGUAAGCCUAUCGUA